AAUCAACGCUGGCGGCGUGCCUAACACAUGCAAGUCGAACGAGAAAGUGGAGCAAUCCAUGAGUAAAGUGGCGACCGGGUGAGUAACACGUGACUAACCUACCUCCGAGUGGGGAAUAACUCCGGGAAACCGGGGCUAAUACCGCAUAACAUCGCAAGAUCAAAGCAGCAAUGCGCUUGGAGAGGGGGUCGCGGCUGAUAGCUAGUUGGCGGGGUAACGGCCCACCAAGGCGAAGAUCGGUAUCCGGCCUGAGAGGGCGCACGGACACACUGGAACUGAAACACGGUCCAGACUCCUACGGGAGGCAGCAGUGGGGAAUUUUGCGCAAUGGGGGAAACCCUGACGCAGCAACGCCGCGUGGAGGAUGAAGCCCCUUGGGGCGUAAACUCCUUUCGACUCGGAAGAUAAUGACGGUACGAGUGGAAGAAGCACCGGCUAACUCUGUGCCAGCAGCCGCGGUAAUACAGAGGGUGCGAGCGUUGUUCGGAAUUAUUGGGCGUAAAGGGCGCGUAGGCGGUGCCACAAGUCACUUGUGAAAUCCCCGGGCUUAACUCGGGGCCUGCAGGCGAAACUGUGGUGCUGGAGUGUGGGAGAGGUGCGUGGAAUUCCCGGUGUAGCGGUGAAAUGCGUAGAUAUCGGGAGGAACACCUGUGGCGAAAGCGGCGCACUGGACCAUAACUGACGCUGAGGCGCGAAAGCUAGGGGAGCAAACAGGAUUAGAUACCCUGGUAGUCCUAGCCCUAAACGAUGAUUGCUUGGUGUAGCAGGUACCCAAUCCUGCUGUGCCGCAGCUAACGCGAUAAGCAAUCCGCCUGGGGAGUACGGUCGCAAGGCUG
rnacentral:rRNA from 1 species